rnacentral:rRNA from 1 species
UACGAAGGGGGCUAGCGUUGCUCGGAAUCACUGGGCGUAAAGGGUGCGUAGGCGGGUCUUUAAGUCAGGGGUGAAAUCCUGGAGCUCAACUCCAGAACUGCCUUUGAUACUGAGGAUCUUGAGUAUGGGAGAGGUGAGUGGAACUGCGAGUGUAGAGGUGAAAUUCGUAGAUAUUCGCAAGAACACCAGUGGCGAAGGCGGCUCACUGGCCUAUUACUGACGCUGAGGCACGAAAGCGUGGGGAGCAAACAGG